UAAUUGGCUUGGUAUAAAUGUAAAAUUGUCCUUAAUGUGUGCAGGGUAGCAUUAGUGUACGGGUAUCGCUGCUCGGCACGGACGCAGUGGGCCGAAAGGCCUGCUUCUGUGUCG